rnacentral:lncRNA from 1 species
CAGCUCCCAAUAAAAAAUCCUAAACUCUCAGUCUCAAAUAGGAUUCCCUAGGCAGAAACACUGCAUAUGUGGUGUAUUUUUUCUGCUGUAAAGACAGUACACUCUGUGUGAUCCCUCAUGGGAAGAAUAGAGUAUAGGAAACCUGCAUACAUAUUACUCGAGACUCAGAUUGUGUCUUUUUCCCUAACUGAACAAACUGAGUAUCCUGACCAUGUUACCUGUAAAAAUUUGAAACAUGGAAGAAACUGUAUGCUGAGCUUGUGAGUCCUAGUAAACUACUGAGGAUGUGGGUGGUCUUGUGGACUCCUGAAACAGCUGUCAUGUAUUUUAUUUCCACACAUAUCUUAAACUCAAGGCUGAGACAUUAUCUUCAUUAGCUUGAUCCUGGGUGGUGGUUUGCCCAGAGUCCUCAAUUCUCCACUGUUUCUCUACUGAAAUCUUUAUCCCCUCAAAAUCUCAAAAUCAUCUAUUGGGUUCAGGAUUAAUUUCUCCCAAAUUCCUGUUAAUGUUAAUGCUUUGAUCUACUCCCAUAAAACGUGGAUGUUCUUAAUGGCCUCUAGAAUAAUAAAUCCUUCCUGGAAGGUUUUCAAUUGAAUUUUCCCAGAUCCAUCAAAGGAAUAACUAUCUAUGACAGCUAUAAUCUUAUAAAAUGUAUUUCCUAACUAAUAAGACUUGAAAGUUAAAAUUACUCCUUGAUUCAUGCACUGCAGAAUUAAUGUUGUGUUAGCAGGCAUAAAAAUAAAUGCACUGAACACCAGAGCACCCAGAUUCACCAAACAAAUACUACUACGCCUAAGAAACACAUGGAUCACAAUGCAAGAAUAGUGGGGGACUAGACAUACUAGAUCUGAUAUUAUUAUAUAGAUCAUCAAGGCAGAAAAUUAACCAAGAAACUCUGGACUUAAACUGGACUAUAGACCAAAUGGACCUAACAGACAUUUACAGAACAUUCUACUCACCAACCAUAGAAAUAACUUCCUCAUCUUCUGCACAGGGAACAUUCUCCAAAAUCAACCAUGUGCUUGGAGAAAAGCAUAUGGUUUCAAUGAAAUAAAGAAUCAAAAUCAUAUCAUGUAUCUUCUUGGACCACAGUGGAAUAAAACUAAAAAUCAAUACCAAGAAUAAUGCUCAAAACUACACAAGAAUAUGGAAAGUAAGUAACUUGCUCCUGCAUUACUAUUGGAAAAAUAAUAAAAUUAAGACAGAAAUUGGCUGGGUGCAGUGGCUCAUG